AAUGCUUAGGAAUCUGCCUAUUAGUGGGGGACAACAUUCCGAAAGGAAUGCUAAUACCGCAUACGCCCUACGGGGGAAAGCAGGGGAUCUUCGGACCUUGCGCUAAUAGAUGAGCCUAAGUCAGAUUAGCUAGUUGGUGGGGUAAAGGCCUAUCAAGGCGACGAUCUGUAGCGGGUCUGAGAGGAUGAUCCGCCACACUGGGACUGAGACACGGCCCAGACUCCUACGGGAGGCAGCAGUGGGGAAUAUUGGACAAUGGGCGCAAGCCUGAUCCAGCCAUGCCGCGUGUGUGAAGAAGGCCUUUUGGUUGUAAAGCACUUUAAGCGAGGAGGAGGCUACUUGGAUUAAUACUCUAGGAUAGUGGACGUUACUCGCAGAAUAAGCACCGGCUAACUCUGUGCCAGCAGCCGCGGUAAUACAGAGGGUGCGAGCGUUAAUCGGAUUUACUGGGCGUAAAGCGUGCGUAGGCGGCUUUUUAAGUCGGAUGUGAAAUCCCUGAGCUUAACUUAGGAAUUGCAUUCGAUACUGGGAAGCUAGAGUAUGGGAGAGGAUGGUAGAAUUCCAGGUGUAGCGGUGAAAUGCGUAGAGAUCUGGAGG
rnacentral:rRNA from 1 species